GCAUUAAUGGGGUAGUGGUAACCUGGGUCGUUGCCAUCUGUUGUGCAUAGCAAUCAAUUUCAUGUCUCGACCCGCCGGGGGUUCGAUUCCCUCUUAAUGCA